GAUGAACGCUGGCGGCGUGCCUAAUACAUGCAAGUCGAGCGAACGGACGAGAAGCUUGCUUCUCUGAUGUUAGCGGCGGACGGGUGAGUAACACGUGUAUAACCUACCUAUAAGACUGGGAUAACUUCGGGAAACCGGAGCUAAUACCGGAUGAUAUUUUGAACCGCGUGGGUCAAAAGUGAAAUACGGUCUUUCGGUCACUUAUAGAUGGAUCCGCGCUGGAUUAGCUGGUUGGUAAGGUAAUGGGUUACCAAGGGAAGGAUGCGUAGCCGACCUGAGAGGGGGAUAGGCCGCAUGGGAACGGGGACAGGGUCAUGGGGCCUGAGGGAGGGAGCAGUAGGGAAUCUGCCGCAGUGGGGGGAAGCCUUACGGAACAAGGCCGCGUGUGAGAUGAAGGUGUUCGGAUCGUAAAGCUCGGUUAUGAGGGAAAAACAGAUGUCGAAGGAACUGUGCAGAUCGUGACGGUACCUGAUCAGAAAGCCACGGCUAACUACGUG
rnacentral:rRNA from 1 species